CAUUGUUGGAAGCCAGUGUUUAUGGGCAGCCCAACGAAUGGUGCAGUGACUGUCACAGUAUAAACAGGUUCUAAAGAGCCAUGGCAUUGCGA